CAUAGGUUGAGGAGGCGGUAACCGUGGCGGUGGAGGAGGAGGAUGAGGUAGCCAACACUGUUUAUAUAUAUAUAUAUUUUUUUUAAUUGGGGUAGCCCCCAAAAUAUUGGGAUAUAUAAAAAAAAGACAACUCUGUUCCGCAGAGUAGCUGUUGACAUUAUAGUUGCGCAGGAACUUUGUUGACUCUUGAGAACCUCAUCCAGUUUCUGCGCCUACCAUGGUGGCCACGGGUAAUGGGGAAUCAGGGUUCCAUUCCGUACAGGGACCCUGAGAAACGGCUACCACAUGCAAGGAAGACAGCAGACGCGCAAAUGACCCACUCCCAACACGGGAAGGUAGUGACG